rnacentral:rRNA from 1 species
GACGUAGGGCGCGAGCGUUGUCCGGAUUAUUGGGCGUAAAGAGCUCGUAGGCGGCUUGUCGCGUCGUCCGUGAAAACCUGCGGCUCAACCGUGCAGGCUGGCGGUCGAUACGGGCAGGCUGGAGUUCGGUGAGGGGAGACUGGAAUUCCUGGUGGUGAGCGGUGAAAUGCGUAGAUAUCGUAAGGAAGACCAGUGGCGAAGGCGGGUCGCUGGACAGUUCCCUGGACGCUGAGGCACGAAGGUCAGGGGAGGCAAACCGGGGAUUAGAAAACCCCGGGAUAGCCCAG